rnacentral:rRNA from 1 species
AUGACAAAACCCAAGUUCAUGGGAGGACUUGGCUUUAGAGAUGUGGAGCUUUUUAACUUGGCUCUACUCGCCCGACAAGUUUGGAGAUUGUUACAGGAACCUGAUACGCUCAGCGCGCGAGUACUUAGAGCUCGUUAUUAUCCCGGUGCAAAUAUCCUGGACGCCUCUUUGGGCCAGGCCCCCUCCCAGGUCUGGUGAUCUCUCUUGGAAGGACGGGAUGUUCUUUCUUUGGGCCUCAUUAGAAAGGGAACAAUGUAUGUUGUUAUGCAAUUUGACCGAUAA